rnacentral:rRNA from 1 species
ACUCCUACGGGAGGCAGCAGUGGGGAAUAUUGCACAAUGGGCGCAAGCCUGAUGCAGCCAUGCCGCGUGUGUGAAGAAGGCCUUCGGUUGUAAAGCACUUUCAGUCGUGAGGAAGGUAGUGUAGUUAAUAGCUGCAUUAUUUGACGUUAGCGACAGAAGAAGCACCGGCUAACUCCGUGCCAGCAGCCGCGGUAAUACGGAGGGUGCGAGCGUUAAUCGGAAUUACUGGGCGUAAAGCGCAUGCAGGUGGUUUGUUAAGUCAGAUGUGAAAGCCCGGGGCUCAACCUCGGAAUAGCAUUUGAAACUGGCAGACUAGAGUACUGUAGAGGGGGUAGAAUUUCAGGUGUAGCGGUGAAAUGCGUAGAGAUCUGAAGGAAUACCGGUGGCGAAGGCGGCCCCCUGGACAGAUACUGACACUCAGAUGCGAAAGCGUGGGGAGCAAACA